rnacentral:rRNA from 1 species
UGCCAGACUCCUACGGGAGGCAGCAGUGGGGAAUAUUGCACAAUGGGGGAAACCCUGAUGCAGCGACGCCGCGUGAGCGAUGAAGUAUUUCGGUAUGUAAAGCUCUAUCAGCAGGGAAGAAAAUGACGGUACCUGACUAAGAAGCCCCGGCUAACUACGUGCCAGCAGCCGCGGUAAUACGUAGGGGGCAAGCGUUAUCCGGAUUUACUGGGUGUAAAGGGAGCGUAGACGGCUGUGCAAGCCAGAUGUGAAAGCCCGGGGCUCAACCCCGGGACUGCAUUUGGAACUGUGUGGCUGGAGUGUCGGAGAGGCAGGCGGAAUUCCUAGUGUAGCGGUGAAAUGCGUAGAUAUUAGGAGGAACACCAGUGGCGAAGGCGGCCUGCUGGACGAUGACUGACGUUGAGGCUCGAAAGCGUGGGGAGCAAACAGGAUUAGAUACCCUGGUAAAU